rnacentral:hammerhead_ribozyme from 1 species
GUCCAGCUGACGAGUCAGACAGAACGAAACGCACGUCAUGGAU